rnacentral:rRNA from 1 species
UACGUAGGGUGCAAGCGUUAUCCGGAAUUAUUGGGCGUAAAGAGCUCGUAGGCGGUUUGUCGCGUCUGCUGUGAAAACCCGAGGCUCAACCUCGGGCCUGCAGUGGGUACGGGCAGACUAGAGUGCGGUAGGGGAGAUUGGAAUUCCUGGUGUAGCGGUGAAAUGCGCAGAUAUCAGGAAGAACACCAAUGGCGAAAGCAGCUCUCUGGGACGGUACUGACGCUGAGACGCGAAAGCGUGGGGAGCGAACAGG